rnacentral:rRNA from 1 species
UACGUAGGGUGCAAGCGUUACUCGGAAUUACUGGGCGUAAAGCGAGCGCAGGCGGCUAUGCAAGACAGAUGUGAAAUCCCCGGGCUCAACCUGGGAACUGCAUUUGUGACUGCAUGGCUAGAGUACGGUAGAGGGGGAUGGAAUUCCGCGUGUAGCAGUGAAAUGCGUAGAUAUGCGGAGGAACACCGAUGGCGAAGGCAAUCCCCUGGACCUGUACUGACGCUCAUGCACGAAAGCGUGGGGAGCAAACAGG